UACACACCGCCCGUCACGUCAUGAAAGUGGGAGACGCCUGAAGCCGGUGGGCUAACUCGUAAGAGAGGCAGCCGUCUAGGGUGGGGCCCGCGAUUGGGACG
rnacentral:rRNA from 1 species